rnacentral:rRNA from 1 species
CCUACGGGUGGCAGCAGUGGGGAAUAUUGGACAAUGGGCGAAAGCCUGAUCCAGCCAUGCCGCGUGUGUGAAGAAGGCCUUCGGGUUGUAAGCACCUUCAGUGGGGAAGAAAGCCUUGGGGCUAAUACCCUCGAGGAAGGACAUCACCCACAGAAGAAGCACCGGCUAACUCCGUGCCAGCAGCCGCGGUAAUACGGAGGGGGCAGGCGUUAAUCGGAAUUACUGGGCGUAAAGCGCGCGUAGGCGGUCUGAUAAGCCGGUUGUGAAAGCCCCGGGCUCAACCUGGGAACGGCAUCCGGAACUGGCAGGCUAGAGUGCAGGAGAGGAAGGUAGAAUUCCCGGUGUAGCGGUGAAAUGCGUAGAGAUCGGGAGGAAUACCAGUGGCGAAGGCGGCCUUCUGGACUGACACUGACACUGAGGUGCGAAAGCGUGGGUAGCGAACAGGAUUAGAUACCCCAGUAGUC